rnacentral:rRNA from 1 species
GACGAACGCUGGCGGCGUGCUUAACACAUGCAAGUCGAACGCUGAAGCUUGGUGCUUGCACUGGGUGGAUGAGUGGCGAACGGGUGAGUAAUACGUGAGUAACCUGCCCUUGACUCUGGGAUAAGCCUGGGAAACUGGGUCUAAUACUGGAUACGACAUGCCACUGCAUGGUGGUGUGUGGAAAGGGUUUUACUGGUUUUGGAUGGGCUCACGGCCUAUCAGCUUGUUGGUGGGGUAAUGGCCUACCAAGGCGACGACGGGUAGCCGGCCUGAGAGGGUGACCGGCCACACAGGGACUGAGGCACGGCCCAGACGCAUACGGGAGGCAGCAGUGGGGAAUAGUGCACAAUGGGCGGAGGCCUGAUGCAGCGACGCCGCGUGGGGGAGGACGGCCUUCGGGUGGUAAACCUCUUUCAGCACGGAAGAAGCGAGAGUGACGGUACGUGAAGAAGAAGCGCCGGCUAACUACGU